CAGCUCCUUUGGGAUGUUCUUGUCACCAUCAUUCACUUCAUUCAUCCGUUUUCACUUUGUCAGCUGUGUUUUUUAUGUUUUGCUGAUCAUUGUAGUGUGGAAUAUCU
rnacentral:snoRNA from 1 species